rnacentral:tRNA from 1 species
GGAUUGUGGCUCAGCGGUACAGCGCUUGCCUAGCAUGUGCGAGGCCCUGGGAUCGAUUCUCAGCACCA